GUGGGGAAUUUUGGACAAUGGGCGCAAGCCUGAUCCAGCAAUGCCGCGUGCAGGAAGAAGGCCUUCGGGUUGUAAACUGCUUUUGUACGGAACGAAACGGUCCUGGUUAAUACCUGGGGCUAAUGACGGUACCGUAAGAAUAAGCACCGGCUAACUACGUGCCAGCAGCCGCGGUAAUACGUAGGGUGCGAGCGUUAAUCGGAAUUACUGGGCGUAAAGCGUGCGCAGGCGGUGCUGUAAGACAGGUGUGAAAUCCCCGGGCUCAACCUGGGAAUUGCGCUUGUGACUGCAGUGCUGGAGUACGGCAGAGGGGGAUGGAAUUCCGCGUGUAGCAGUGAAAUGCGUAGAUAUGCGGAGGAACACCGAUGGCGAAGGCAGUCCCCUGGGCCUGUACUGACGCUCAUGCACGAAAGCGUGGGGAGCAAACAGGAUUAGAAACCCGGGUAGUCC
rnacentral:rRNA from 1 species